rnacentral:ncRNA from 1 species
CUGAAGGCCGCGUCCGGGUCAAUUGCGGACUGCAACACCCGAUCUCCCUCCCCGUACCGGCAGAAAUGUCGGUCGAGGAGGGAGAGCGCGUGACCGUCAG